rnacentral:tRNA from 1 species
GUCGUGGUAGCCUAGCCUGGUCAAGGCGCAGGGUUGCUAACUCUGUGGCGUAACUCUCCGGGGUUCAAAUCCCCGCCACGACGCCU